rnacentral:lncRNA from 1 species
GUGCUGCAUACAAUGCUCUACCCCCACCCCAGCACAAGAGCUGCACUUAACCCAGAGCAUCUGAGUUGCCAGCUGCCAUUAAAAGAGCUGAGCCUGAGCUGGGUACAGCCUAAAGAGCAGUUUCCUUUCAGCUACCCAUUCAUGAGGAUGCAGACAUUUGUCAUCAGGCUGUUUUUUAAGAGCUAA